rnacentral:rRNA from 1 species
UGAUUCCGGAGAAGGAGCUUGAGAAUUGGCUACUACAUCUAAGGAAGGCAGCAGGCGCGCAAAUUACCUAAUCCCGAUUCGGGGAGGUAGUGACAAAAAAUAACAAUACCGGGCCUUUUUGGGCUUGGUAAUUGGAAUGAGGGAGAGUUAAACGGACCAUCGAGUAUCCAUUGGAGGGCAAGUCUGGUGCCAGCAGCUGCGGUAAUACCAGCUCCAAUAGCGUAUAUUAAAGCUGUUGCAGUUAAAAAGCUCGUAGUUGGACUUGUGUGCGCUGUCCGCGGGUGGCCUGCGCCCAAAAGGGCGUUUCGGUUCGGCCCCGGUGGCGCCUUGAAAUCUGCAGCUGGGGGGACGUUGGCCUUAACUGGUCGGCGACCGCACGCCGGCUGCUCGGUUACUGUGAGAAAAUUAGAGUGUUCAAGGCAGGCAUUGGGUGCAAUUGAAUACAUUAGCAUGGAAUAAUAAAAUAUGGCUCCUGCCGUAUUUUGUUGGUUUUGACUGGUGGGAGUAAUGAUUGAUAGGGACGGUUGGGGGUGCUAGUAUUGAGCGGCCAGAGGUGAAAUUCAUGGAUUCGCUCAAGACUAACUUAUGCGAAAGCAUUCACCAAGGACGUCCUCUUUAAUCAAGAACGAAAGUUGGGGGAUCGAAGACGAUCAGAUACCGUCGUAGUCUCAACCAUAAACUAUGUCGACUUGGGAUCGGCGGUAGUUUUUUCAUUAAGACACUGUCGGGACCACGGGAGAAAUCAAAGUGUCUGGACUCUGGGGGAAGUAUGGUCGCAAGGCUGAAACUUGAAGGAAUUGACGGAAGGGCACCACCAGGAGUGGAGCCUGCGGCUUAAUUUGACCCAACACGGGGAAACUUACCAGGUCCAGAGAUGUAGAGGAUUGACAGAUUGAAGCUCUUUCUUGAUCACUUCGGUGGUGGUGCAUGGCCGUUCUUAGUUGGUGGAGUGAUUUGUCUGGUUAAUUCCGUUAACGAACGAGACCUCAGCCUGCUAGUGUAGUCGGCUGGAUUGCCUUUGGCGAUCCGUGAUUUCGACUUCUUAGAGGGACAAUCGACGCGCAGUCGAUGGAAGUUUGAGGCAAUAACAGGUCUGUGAUGCCCUUAGAUGUUCUGGGCCGCACGCGCGCUACACUGCUGGGCUCAGCGAGUUUUACUUGGCCGAGAGGCCCGGUUAAUCUUGUGAAAUCCCAGCGUGCUUGGGCUCGCCUCCUGCAACUGGAGGCGCCAACGAGGAAUUCCUAGUAGACGCAGGUCAUCAACCUGCAUCGAUUACGUCCCUGCCCUUUGUACACACCGCCCGUCGUUCCAUAAGAGUGAGGCAUCCGGUGAAUUCUCGGGAGAGCCUGGGCGUGGCCAGCAAUGGUCUGCUCGGGUUUGAACUUGCAUAAACUUGGUGCCUAUGAUUAGGGAAAAGUCGUAACAAGGUU